rnacentral:rRNA from 1 species
UACGUAGGGUCCAAGCGUUAAUCGGAAUUACUGGGCGUAAAGCGUGCGCAGGCGGUUCGUUAAGUCAGCUGUGAAAGCCCCGGGCUCAACCUGGGAAUGGCGGUUGUGACUGCACGGCUAGAGUGUGUCAGAGGGGGGUAGAAUUCCACGUGUAGCAGUGAAAUGCGUAGAGAUGUGGAGGAAUACCGAUGGCGAAGGCAGCCCCCUGGGAUAACACUGACGCUCAUGCACGAAAGCGUGGGGAGCAAACAGG